GUAUUUUGUCAGUGCUGGGUGCUUCAGUUUUUAAGCCUGCUGACUGCCAUUGAGCCUUCUUAUUGUGAGAAUGGCAUGGAUACACUGCCACUGAUGUAUGAUUCUCUCUCUUAGGUAAGCGUGACAUCGCUCAUCUUAUGUGGGGUCAUCAUCAGGGAGGAGUCUGUUUAGGAGAUAUUCUGCUGUGCUUCUCCAUCCUCUGAUCAUUGUGCCUUCAGCUUGUUCUGGUGUGGACAGAACUGUCAGUGUCAUAACUUGAUCUUUUUCUAUCUUGAAUGGUUGUCCCCAGAUGUCAUUCUGUAGCUGGGUCUUGACAAAAUUGGUCCAGUAGUCUUGCCUUGUUGUCUUUAACUGUCUUUGCUAUUUCUGUUUAGUGUCAUGAUACAGGUUGAGUCUUAUCUGUCUUUCAGGAGAUGUCUUUGCUUGUUUGUAGUACUUUCUCUUGUUCCUUGAAUCCUUCCCUUAUCUCACCAGUUCUGUCAACCAUGGUUGUUGCUGCUCCAGUCAGUUUUUGCCCAUGGUAUAGUUGAUAUUCAUGGUCCAUGUUAUGUGUAUUGAUGUGUGGUUAUGAUGAUUGUGUUGUGGUUGCUAUGUGUGGUUCAGUCUAAUACCCUUCAUAUGUUGACUAGUGGAAGAAAUUUUGCAUUCCCUAGAGAAAGAUCUAUGUUACUUAUGCCACUGGCAUCUCUGCAGUAGGUAGGUGGCUGUCCCUCCCAAUUCAGAGUGAAGAGGUUGCAUUCAUUUACCAUGUCAAGCACUAGUUGUCCUCUGUCAUCAGUUGUAUCUGAGUUCCACAAAUGGGAUUUUACAUUGAUGUUGGUUAGAAUGACCAGCCUUUUUCUUUCUUAAUGUUGUGCAAUGUCUUUUCUUUGUCUAAGAAAGAUUCUAUGCCACACGAAUAUUGAGUGUAUACAGACGACUUGACCCACACAUCCCGUGUGUCUGUUAUUUCUCUUUGGUGAUGUGUUCAGAGCAAAACUGGGUGAUCUGUGUUACUAUGAGGUUUUUAUUUACUUCUGUUAUCAUGGCUUUCAUGUUUGGUUUUCCUGCUAUUGUGAUGUAAUGUAAGGGGAGCCCUGGAAUCUUCUCGCCUCACAGAAAGGGUUCCUGAACACAGGCAAUGCCUGCUUUUGUUUUAUCUGAAAGCCUACCUAGUUCCAUCUUUACUAGUAUACUACCCCGGCAAUUUAGUUGUAUUACACUCAGAAGGGGUAUCUAGUGAACAAAAAACUCUUGGGUGUGGUUUGUAUAAAAUCCAGAAACACACAUCCAUUUGCCCUCACGAAGUCCUUGUGUACUUUCCCUAGGUUUAGCCCUCUGCCCUUCCCUCACAUGCCUACCCUAAAAGCUUACAUAGUUCUUUGGGGUUUGUUGGGAGAUUUUCGACUCUUAGAAUCAUCCUGUCAGUUUUUUCUGUAGUUGGGAAGCAGAUAUUAUCCCCGUUUUUAUGCUUAGUUCAUAUUACAUAGCGAGGAGCUGUUUGAAAUACAUCCUCGUUUCCCAGUCUGCUACGCCCUAGGUUAGCUUCUAAGCUUCCAUAGUUUAUUUGAUUAAUGGUGUUCAGCUUGGGGUCCUUGGUAGUGUCUGAUUGGUGUUCUUGACUGUUCAUUUGUUGCUCUGAUUUUGAGUAAUUUUGUAGUGUAGCAUGUUUUUCCUGCUUUAUGGCUUCUGGUAGUGUGGAGUUCAAUGUGUUUCAACUGAACAUUUCCCAUGACAGUAACUUCAUGUUUUUUGUCUCCAGUGGGGACCUGUUCGUGAAAGCAGACUGUUGUAUGUUCAUUUCUGGGGUGGUUGUGCCUGGUGUUGUGCCAGUGCAGGAUGAGUCUUUCUGUUCAGCUACCUUACUGUUUUGUUUUUCAUAGUGACUAUGUGUGCUACCCCUGUAGGCAAAGCAAACUGGUGUAAAUAGGGUCUACAUUUUGUUGCAUCAUAUUCUACUUGUUGUGCAGAUAGCAUGCAGUAGUCUUUGUCUGUAUUUGCCUAUGGUGUUGCUUUUGUUGUGAACUCUGACACCUUCAUUCUCAGGAUGUUCAAGAAUGUCAUUACAUUUCUCUGUAAUAUCUCAUAGUAUUUUGCCUUCCACUUCAUCAGCUUGGAGAAGGAGACAAUCCUGGAAGAUGGCCCUAUCACACGUGAUGUUUCAAGUGCCUGACCAUUUCAUAUUCAAUUGCACCCUGAAGGCACAUAUUGUCUAUGUAGUGGGUAAUGGUGAAGUACCUAAAUUGUAUUGUCUCCCAGAACUGAGGUAUUACAUUAGUGUUAAUAUCUGCAUUUGGGGGUUUUAAUAGCCCCAUGUGUUGCUGCCAGGAAGCAGUUCACCUCUGUCAUGGUGUUAAUAAUCUGUGUGGGCUUGCCAUUGUGAGCUUGCUAGACACUGAUCUCUGAUCACUUGCGGGGGAGCUUGACAUGUAGGGAAAUCAAGCAAAGAUUAGAGAGGAACACUCAGAAAGUGCAGACAGGAAUGUGUCACAGAUGAAGGAACACUAUUCAUAGGGCAGCUGAAUGAGCUGGAUGUAUGGAAAUGGGUAUCACAGUGUAGUGGAGUAGUGAUUCAUAGAUCUGGUGACAGACCAAAAUUUUUAAAGAAGUCAAUGCCUAUGACUGGUUCUUCAGUAUCAUCCGUGUGUAAUGUCCACUGAUACACUGCACCAGAUUUUUCCCGUGCGGCCAUCCCAGAUGUCAUCACAAAAAACAACAGAUACUUCUUUGCUGGCAGCAAUUAAUGAAUUAAUGCUACGCAAAGCCACUAAGCAUCGUACAGCAACGAUCCGUUCCCGGAGAAC